CUAAAUGUUUGGAAUAACAGGGGCCCACAACCUUUAUUUCUGAACUUUACCCUUCAGGGAAAUGCUGAGCAAGAAACCAUCCCAGGUUUCAGAAGCAAACAGACUGGUCACUAUGGACAAGUCUCUCACCCUGACUAAGCUCCCACCUCUUCAAGUGCAAAAUAAGAUGACCUUGUUCUGGUGUCAGUAAGUCAGAGAAGGGAGCCUUUAACCCACUCCAAUUCGACUUGCACGUAUACUUUUCUUGCGCACACAGAAGACAACUCCAAGGAAUCUAUGAGACUUGCUUACGACAAUGGUACUGACAUUUUGGAGUGCAUUGGGGUCACUCAUGGCCGUCCCCCUUAGGAAUCGGGGGUCAGUAAGUCUCAACUCUGGGAUGUCUUUAACAAGUCUCCAGCGCCAAGGAAGGAAGCGAGGAAACCUGCAGCCAGGAGCCCUGGACACCCUUCCCCGCUCUCCUUUAGACUGUCGACCUGGAACGGCUCGCUCCCUGUUUCCGGCUUUGAGUUUUCCAGCUAGAGAAGUCAGGCUGGCACGCGAGCUUGAUGGUGAAACGCUGGGAGUUCUUCAGGCAGGUGAUACUGAA